rnacentral:rRNA from 1 species
UGGGGGAUAUUGCACAAUGGGGGAAACCCUGAUGCAGCGACGCCGCGUGAGUGAAGAAGUAUUUCGGUAUGUAAAGCUCUAUCAGCAGGGAAGAAAAAAGACGGUACCUGACUAAGAAGCCCCGGCUAACUACGUGCU